rnacentral:rRNA from 1 species
UACGUAGGGGGCUAGCGUUGUCCGGAAUCAUUGGGCGUAAAGCGCGUGUAGGCGGUCCGGUAAGUCCGCUGUGAAAGUCGGGGGCUCAACCCUCGAAUGCCGGUGGAUACUGUCGGGCUAGAGUGCGGAAGAGGCGAGUGGAAUUCCUGGUGUAGCGGUGAAAUGCGCAGAUAUCAGGAGGAACACCUAUUGCGAAGGCAGCUCGCUGGGACGUAACUGACGCUGAGACGCGAAAGCGUGGGGGGAGCAAACAGG